rnacentral:rRNA from 1 species
UACGUAGGUGGCAAGCGUUGUCCGGAAUUAUUGGGCGUAAAGCGCGCGCAGGCGGUUUUUUAAGUCUGAUGUGAAAGCCCACAGCUCAACCGUGGAGGGUCAUUGGAAACUGUCAGACUUGAGUGCAGAAGAGGAGAGCGGAAUUCCACGUGUAGCGGUGAAAUGCGUAGAGAUGUGGAGGAACACCAGUGGCGAAGGCAGCUCUCUGGUCUGUAACUGACGCUGAGGCGCGAAAGCGUGGGGAGCAAACAGG